UUGCACUCAAUUAAGCCGACUACCUUUUGUUCAAUUGAUUGGUAGUGUGCAAUGGGUGCAUAAAACAAACAGACUCCUUGGUUUGUGUAAGAUCUUCGUUCCUUGUACGAAACUCUUAGGGACCAUGGAGACAGUG
ensembl:snoRNA SNORA70 Small nucleolar RNA SNORA70